CCCAUCUCUGUUAAGGUGCCCCAUCUGUGGUGAGUUCUUCACAUAGUCUUUUUCCCGACACUUCUCGUUUCUCACAGAAGAAACGCAGCUCUUAAGUAGAUAGCUCACUGAGUGCUUAGAAGCUCUUUUGUAGGCGACUGUCUGGAGCACUCUCACCAAAAUCCCAACACUAGAUGUCUGCGGGCACCCUCACAGCCGAACAAACCUCGCAGCUCUCCUGUGCCUUCGAUGCUACCUCAAGAGGCCACCUGCUGAAGCAGCUGCCACAAACAUGCUCCAGCCAGACUCUGCAGGCAGACAGAAGGUUGACAACGAUGAAAGAGCUCUCAGCCCAAUCUCUCAGCCUCACUCUUUCUGCAGCUGUGCCCAGAAAGACGUCUCUGCGGGUAUUAACAUGAGGAGCUCUGUUAACUCAUCCCUGAUCACUCCAAACCUGUGAUUCUACUUCCAUGUCCAACUGUCCCCUCCUGGGGUAGUGCCAGUCUCAGAGACUUUACUUAGAUGUUUGUCAGCUUCUGCACAGCUGGGAGCAGAGCCGCGCCUCCACAGCCCAGCUGAAGAGAACAAAAGCUUCCAAUGCCUACAAUCGUAAUGAGUCUCCGCACCCCCACCUCUGUACCGUAGCCAACUCCCUUCCCUCCUCCCUACGAGUGGAAAACCACCUUAAAACGCACCCCCAUACCACCUCAAGAUCUUUAUUUAUUUCCAUACCAGGGGAGGACGGCAUGGUGGAGUGGGGGCGGGAAGGGGGGUGAGGAAAUGGUGUUUGUUUCCCUUGUUUUUCCAGAAGCUAAAAUGCUCUGGCAGCUAGGAAUGAAAGUGUUUGUCUUAAUUCUGCCCUCUCGGCAUGAGCCCCUGCAGAAAAUGGCUUGUGUUUCCUUUGCCUGCCGCCACUGCGGCUGCCGAGGCUGUUGUGGUGGCAAAGAUAAACAGCCCAUCAGCGCCGAGCUGAAAAGAAAUAUCGGAAAGGGGAUGGGAGUAGUUUAAUUACUUUGAAUGGCUUUUUGUGUUCUGUGUGAUUGCUUCCUAUGAUACAGUAGUUUCUCAUUCUCCAUGCAAA